rnacentral:rRNA from 1 species
AUUGAACGCUGGCGGCAUGCCUUACACAUGCAAGUCGAACGGCAGCGCGGGAGCAAUCCUGGCGGCGAGUGGCGAACGGGUGGGUAAUACAUCGGAACGUGCCCAAUCGUGGGGGAUAACGCAGCGAAAGCUGUGCUAAUACCGCAUACGAUCUACGGAUGAAAGCAGGGGAUCGCAAGACCUUGCGCGAAUGGAGCGGCCGAUGGCAGAUUAGGUAGUUGGUGAGGUAAAGGCUCACCAAGCCUUCGAUCUGUAGCUGGUCUGAGAGGACGACCAGCCACACUGGGACUGAGACACGGCCCAGACUCCUACGGGAGGCAGCAGUGGGGAAUUUUGGACAAUGGGCGAAAGCCUGAUCCAGCCAUGCCGCGUGCAGGAUGAAGGCCUUCGGGUUGUAAACUGCUUUUGUACGGAACGAAACGGUCUUUUCUAAUAAAGAAGGCUAAUGACGGUACCGUAAGAAUAAGCACCGGCUAACUACGUG